rnacentral:rRNA from 1 species
UACGUAGGGGGCAAGCGUUGUCCGGAUUUAUUGGGCGUAAAGAGCUCGUAGGCGGUUGGGCAAGUCACGUGUGAAAUCUCCACGCUCAACGUGGAGGCGCCACGUGAGACUGCCCUGACUCGAGUCCGGUAGGGGAGCGUGGAAUUCCCGGUGUAGCGGUGAAAUGAGCAGAGAUCGGGAGGAACACCCGUAGCGAAGGCGGCGCUCUGGGCCGGUACUGACGCUGAGGAGCGAAAGCGUGGGGAGCAAACAGG